AAUCGCUUGCAGAUACGCGAAUGCUUACCGUCUAUCCAUUGAAAGGGAGUAUGAAUACUGUUGGAACGGCUUUGUGGUUUUGAUUUGGAUUAUAACACAAAUAUUAUCCCUAUCUUAUUUAAGUGUACAAGUGCAGCUUCUAAUACAAAUUCUAACAAGCAGAGUUACUAAUACAUUCCUAUGACUCUCAUUAGGGGUGUUCAUCGUUUGUUAAAACCCAUCCAAAUUGAAAACUGAACCAAAUCAAUUAAAUUAUGGGAAAA
rnacentral:lncRNA from 1 species